rnacentral:rRNA from 1 species
GACGAACGCUGGCGGCGUGCUUAACACAUGCAAGUCGAACGAUGAAGCGGGUGCUUGCACUCGUGGAUUAGUGGCGAACGGGCGAGUAACACGUGAGUAACCUGUCCUUUUCUUUGGGAUAACGGCUGGAAACGGCUGCUAAUACUGGAUAUUCAGGCUGCAUCGCAUGGUGUGGUUUGGAAAGGUUUUUUCUGGGAUUGGGUGGGCUCGCGGCCUAUCAGCUUGUUGGUGGGGUGAUGGCUUACCAAGGCUUUGACGGGUAGCCGGCCUGAGAGGGUGGUCGGUCGCACUGGGACUGAGAUACGGCCCAGACUCCGACGGGAGGCAGCAGUGGGGAAUAUUGCAAAAUGGACGAAAGUUUGAUGCAGCGACGCCGCGUGGAGGGUGUAGGCCUUCGGGUUGUGAACUCCUUUGUCUCGCGAAAAAGGCACAGUUUUGGCUGUGUUGAUGGUAGUGGGGGAAGAAGCGCCGGCUAACUACGUG